ensembl:miRNA gga-mir-6701 gga-mir-6701
CAAAUCCUUCCAAUAGGCCAGAUGAGUGAAGUGAUCUGCCUGCAAAGUACCCCGGGAAACAAAAACAGGAUUAUUUUACAGACAGAUCGCUUUCCUCAGCCAGCUCACCC